UGUAUCCGAAGCCUGACGAGGAUGAGAACCUCCGGGGGCAAGAGGUUCGACUCGAGCGCAGCGAGAGAACGUUGCGUCAGCAACGGUCCGCAGGGCGAGCCACGCAGUGGCGAGUCAUCCUCUAUCACCGACCA
rnacentral:sRNA from 1 species